rnacentral:rRNA from 1 species
GAUGAACGCUGGCGGCGUGCUUAACACAUGCAAGUCGAACGGAAAGGCCUCUGCUUGCAGGGGUACUCGAGUGGCGAACGGGUGAGUAACACGUGGGUGAUCUGCCCUGCACUUCGGGAUAAGCCUGGGAAACUGGGUCUAAUACCGGAUAGGACAAUGGUUUGGAUGCUGUUGUGGAAAGUUUUUCGGUGUGGGAUGAGCUCGCGGCCUAUCAGCUUGUUGGUGGGGUAAUGGCCUACCAAGGCGUCGACGGGUAGCCGGCCUGAGAGGGUGUACGGCCACAUUGGGACUGAGAUACGGCCCAGACUCCGACGGGGGGCAGCAGUGGGGAAUAUUGCACAAUGGGCGCAAGCCUGAGGCAGCGACGCCGCGUGGGGGAUGACGGCCUUCGGGUUGUAAACUCCUUUCGCUAGGGACGAAGCGUUUUUGUGACGGUACCUGGAGAAGAAGCACCGGCUAACUACGUG